UACAGAGGUCCCAAGCGUUACUGAGAAUCACUGGGUUUAAAGGGUGCGUAGGUGGUCCGUUAAGUCAGUUGUGAAAUCCCCGGGCUCAACUCGGGAACUGCUUCUGAUACUGGCGGACUUGAGGCCAGUAGGGGUCACUAGAACUGACGGUGGAGCGGUGAAAUGCGUAGAUAUCGUCAGGAAUGCCGGUGGUGAAGACGGGUGACUGGGCUGGUUCUGGACACUGAGGCACGAAAGCGUGGGGAGCGAACGGGG
rnacentral:rRNA from 1 species